rnacentral:tRNA from 1 species
UAAAGACAAGCUGUUAGCGUUUCAUUUACACUGAAAAGGGGCUUGAGAUUUCAAGGUCUUUAA